CCUACGGGCGACUGCAGUGGGGAAUAUUGCACAAUGGGCGAAAGCCUGAUGCAGCAACGCCGCGUGAAGGAAGACGGUUUUCGGAUUGUAAAGUUCUGUGAUGGGGGAUGAACACAAUGACGGUACCCCAAUAGCAAGCCACGGCUAACUACGUGCCAGCAGCCGCGGUAAUACGUAGGUGGCAAGCGUUAUCCGGAAUGACUGGGCGUAAAGGGUGCGUAGGUGGUUUAGUAAGGUGGCGGUGUAAUUCCGGGGCUCAACCUCGGCGCUACCGCCAAAACUAUUAGACUAGAGUGCAGGAGGGGUAAGUGGAAUUCCUAGUGUAGCGGUGGAAUGCGUAGAUAUUAGGAGGAACAUCAGGGGCGAAGGCGACUUACUGGACUGUAACUGACACUGAGGCACGAAAGCGUGGGGAGCAAACAGGAUUAGAUACCCCAGUAGUC
rnacentral:rRNA from 1 species